rnacentral:rRNA from 1 species
AGAGUUUGAUCCUGGCUCAGAGUGAACGCUGGCGGCAGGCCUAACACAUGCAAGUCGAGCGGCAGCACAGGUAGCAAUACCGGGUGGCGAGCGGCGGACGGGUGAGGAAUACAUCGGAAUCUGCCUUGUUGUGGGGGAUAACGUAGGGAAACUUACGCUAAUACCGCAUACGUCCUACGGGAGAAAGCGGGGGAUCGCAAGACCUCGCGCGGCUGGAUGAGCCGAUGUCGGAUUAGCUUGUUGGCGGGGUAAGAGUCCACCAAGGCGACGAUCCGUAGCUGGUCUGAGAGGAUGAUCAGCCACAUUGGGACUGAGACACGGCCCAAACUCCUACGGGAGGCAGCAGUGGGGAAUAUUGGACAAUGGGGGCAACCCUGAUCCAGCAAUGCCGCGUGUGUGAAGAAGGCCUUCGGGUUGUAAAGCACUUUUAUCAGGAACGAAACGCGCAGGGUUAAUAGCCUUGUGAACUGACGGUACCUGAGGAAUAAGCACCGGCUAACUUCGUGCCAGCAGCCGCGGUAAUACGAAGGGUGCAAGCGUUACUCGGAAUUACUGGGCGUAAAGGGUGCGUAGGUGGUUGUUUAAGUCUGCUGUGAAAGCCCCGGGCUCAACCUGGGAAUGGCAGUGGAUACUGGGCAGCUAGAAUGCGGUAGAGGGUAGUGGAAUUCCCGGUGUAGCAGUGAAAUGCGUAGAGAUCGGGAGGAACACCAGUGGCGAAGGCGGCUACCUGGACCAGCAUUGACACUCAAGCACGAAAGCGUGGGGAGCAAACAGGAUUAGAUACCCUGGUAGUCCACGCCCUAAACGAUGCGAACUGGACGUUGGGAGCAAUUUGGCUCUCAGUGUCGAAGCUAACGCGUUAAGUUCGCCGCCUGGGGAGUACGGUCGCAAGACUGAAACUCAAAGGAAUUGACGGGGGCCCGCACAAGCGGUGGAUGAUGUGGAUUAAUUCGAUGCAACGCGAAAAACCUUACCUACCCUUGACAUGCCCGGGAGCCAGAUGAGAGUUUGGUGUGCUCGAAAGAGAGCCGGGACACAGGUGCUGCAUGGCUGUCGUCAGCUCGUGUCGUGAGAUGUUGGGUUAAGUCCCGCAACGAGCGCAACCCUUGUCAUUAGUUGCUACAUUUAGUUGGGCACUCUAAUGAGACUGCCGGUGACAAACCGGAGGAAGGUGGGGAUGACGUCAAGUCCUCAUGGCCCUUAUAGGUAGGGCUACACACGUCAUACAAUGGCUGGUACAAAGGGUUGCCAACCCGCGAGGGGGAGCCAAUCCCAUAAAGCCAGUCGUAGUCCGGAUCGCAGUCUGCAACUCGACUGCGUGAAGUCGGA